rnacentral:sRNA from 1 species
UCCAAUGGUUGAUCCUGUCAGUAGUUAUAU